GAUGAAGAACGUAGUGAAAUGCGAUAAGUAGUGUGAAUUGCAGAAUUCAGUGAAUCAUCGAAUCUUUGAACGCACAUUGCGCCCCCUGGUAUUCCGGGGGGCAUGCCUGUCCGAGCGUCAUUACAACCCUCAAGCUCAGCUUGGUAUUGGGCCCCGCCGACCCGGCGGGCCCUAAAGUCAGUGGCGGUGCCGUCCGGCUCCGAGCGUAGUAAUUCUUCUCGCUCUGGAGGUCCGGUCGUGUGCUCGCCAGCAACCCCCAAUUUUUUUCAGGUUGACCUCGGAUCAGGUAGGGAUACCCGCUGAACUUAAGCAUAUCAAUAAGCGGAGGA
rnacentral:misc_RNA from 1 species